rnacentral:tRNA from 1 species
UCGAGGGCGGGCACGCGACCGGCAAAGUGAUUGUCGCCAUCUGACACCGGUUCAGAAGGUUAGGGGUUCGAGUCCCUUCGGGCGAA